GAAACACUUGGCAAAGGCCAAACUACGGCUUCUAACAGCACUGGGAAACAGAAGACGACGGCAGCCAAGGGGCGUCUACAGUCAAAGCCAAAACAAAGGAAGCGAAAGGGCGCUCCAUCCGAUGCUGAUGAUGUCUCAUAUGCUU
rnacentral:lncRNA from 1 species